GGAACUGGUUAUUUUGGAGGUGGUGGAACUGGUUAUUUUGGAGGUGGUGGAACUGGUUAUUUUGGCGGUGGUGGAACUGGUUAUUUUGGUGGUGGUGGAAUUGGUUAUUUUGGAGGUGGUGGAACUGGUUAUUUUGGCGGUGGUGGAACUGGUUAUUUUGGUGGUGGUGGAAUUGGUUAUUUUGGAGGUGGUGUAACUGGUUAUUUUGGAGGUGGUGGAACUGAUAAUUUUGGAGGUGUUGGAACUGGCUUUUUUGGAGGUGGUGGAACUGGUUAUUUUGGAGGUGGUGUAACUGGUUAUUUUCGAGGUGGUGGAACUGGUUAUUUUGGAGGUGGUGGAACUGGUUAUUUUGGAGGUGGUGGAACUGGUUAUUUUGGGGGUGGUGGAACUGGUUAUUUUG
rnacentral:lncRNA from 1 species